AUUGUAUGAUUGAGAGUUAAUUCACUUAUUUUUUAAUUGAAUCAAAUUUUGGCGCCGUUGUUGAAAAAUGUCUUAGACGAUUGUCUGUGCCUGCUUUCGUUAUUUACUUAAUAAUUAGAUAAAAUUUUCAAUGGCCAACUUAAGUUGACCAUGUAAUAUUGACAAAAGUUGAAUUGAUAUUAAAAUAUUUAGUGUGAAUGAAACUAGUAUAUAUGUUCAAAAGAAUGAUAUAUAAUUAAUAUUACUAAAUCAGCUUCUAAUGAUACAUCAAACUAUAUGUAUCUAUGUUAUUAGGGAAGCCAUAUUAAUUUUAAAGGAAUUUGUUCAUUUUCUUUACCUUGAGCUUCGAGACAACGAAGCUAAAUGCAGAAAUUAUAAGAACUAUAAAAAAAAAACAAUUAAAUUAAAGAUGAGAAUCGAACCGUACCGAUUAUUCAUCAAAAAGUGGAUUAAUUAACUUAUUCCAAUUUCCUUCAUAGAAACAACAAUAACUUAAUUUAAUUAUAUAUGAUGUAUUUGAAACGCAUAAUAGAAAUUACAUCAUACACUUUGGUCAAAAAAUAAAAAAGAAAUUACAUCAUACACACCCAACAUUAAUUUCUAUAACAUUAUUUUGGAAAGGCUUAACAUAUUCUGCAUGGAGUGGGUGGCGCCCCAGGCGCCCGCGGUGGAGACGGUGGCGCUUCCUGGCGACGCUCCCUGGCGGCGGCUGGUUGCGGUGGCUGCUGCUGCAGAGAGAUCCUAAGCCUUCUUUCGUUCCUUACAUAAGGACUGUGCAUUGAAAGAGCCAAGUGAUUGUGCAUUAGCAAGAAUCCCAUCAAGAAGAAGACUACACAGUGUGUAAACGGGAAUUUCAUUUUUUCCCCCUAUAUUAGUAUAUUAUUACCACUGACUUAAUCGU